AUGGGUUCUAUACAUCAUCGAACAUGGUUACCUUCUAGAGUUCACCGAAUUACCUCCUUUAGGGUACGUAAAUCCUACCCCUUACGACGUGGCCCUCGAAGAGGAAGUAUUCUCACUCCUGCGAAGGCAGGCCAUUCACACCGUUCCAGCAGCAGACUUACUAAACGGGUUUUAUUCGAGAUACUUCGCCGUGUCGAAAAAAGACGGAGGAAUAAGACCUAUCUUGGACCUAAGACUUCUCAAUACUUACCUUCGUCCCCGACGGUUCCGCAUGGUCACGCUAGACUCCAUUCUCCACCUGCUAAAGAAAAACAACUGGUUCACAGUCAUAGACUUAAAGGACGCUUACUUUCAUGUGACGAUCCACCCAUCACAUCGCAAGUACCUCCGGUUCUUCUUCCAAGACACCAUUUACCAAUUCCUAGCCUUACCUUUCGGACUUUCGACAGCCCCCAGAACCUUCACGAAAGUCAUGGCUCCUGUAGCAGCGUACCUAAGGCUCAAGGGUAUUCACAUCUACCCUUAUAUAGACGAUUGGUUACUAGUGUCAACGUCCAGGAAACAAGCUAUCAAGGACACAAAAUUUGUCCUCCGGUUGCUCCCACAACUAGGCCUCACCAUCAAUCGAAAAAAGUCGCACCUCUCACCGUCCAGAGUAGUACACUACAUAGGCGCCCGUCUCGAUGCAACCAAGGCAAGAAUUUUCCUCCCCAAAGAAAGAUAAAAAAGAUUCAAAAAGCCAUAACAAAGUUCUACCCAGGAGCACGGGUUACAGCAAAGCAUGCUCAACAUCUGCUGGGCCUCAUGGCGUCAACGACCUCGACGAUGGCUCAUGCUCGGCUCAAGCUACGCUCCCUGCAGUCAUGGCUGCUAACACUAUUCGACCCCAUGACAGACAGACAGCACAAACGGCUCAAAGUGACACCCGAACUGGCCACCCAAUUGCAAUGGUGGACUUUCCCUCCUCACCUACAAAUUGGCAAACCCUUCAAACCACUGCGAUUGACUAUACAAGUGACUACGGACGCCAGCCCCACAGGUUGGGGUGCGCAUUGUGCUCACCACAAAAUACAUGGCCUCUGGUCUCCUCCGGAACUCAGUCUUCAUAUCAACCACCUAGAGAUGCUGGCGGUCAUCAAGGCAUUAAGGGCGUUCCUUCCUCUGGUGCAGGGUCGUGGUGUUCAAGUAAUAACAGACAACCCCACGACCCUGCACUAUAUCAACAAACAGGGAGGGACCCGCUCCCAGUCUCUACUGUAUCUCUCCAUACACCUUUGGGAAUGGUGUUACCUCCAUCAGAUUUUCCCAGUAGCCAUACACGUGUCAACAACGGACAAUGCAUUGGCAGAUCGCCUCAGCCGCCUCCCAUAUCAGAUGCACGAAUGGGAACUCAACCAGCGGGGACUCCUUCUGUAG
rnacentral:lncRNA from 1 species